CGCAAGACCUCGCGCGAUUGGAGCGGCCGAUAUCAGAUUAGGUAGUUGGUGGGGUAAAGGCCCACCAAGCCAACGAUCUGUAGCUGGUCUGAGAGGACGACCAGCCACACUGGGACUGAGACACGGCCCAGACUCCUACGGGAGGCAGCAGUGGGGAAUUUUGGACAAUGGGCGCAAGCCUGAUCCAGCCAUGCCGCGUGCGGGAAGAAGGCCUUCGGGUUGUAAACCGCUUUUGUCAGGGAAGAAAAGGUUCUGGUUAAUACCUGGGACUCAUGACGGUACCUGAAGAAUAAGCACCGGCUAACUACGUGCCAGCAGCCGCGGUAAUACGUAGGGUGCAAGCGUUAAUCGGAAUUACUGGGCGUAAAGCGUGCGCAGGCGGUUAUGCAAGACAGAGGUGAAAUCCCCGGGCUCAACCUGGGAACUGCCUUUGUGACUGCAUGGCUAGAGUACGGUAGAGGGGGAUGGAAUUCCGCGUGUAGCAGUGAAAUGCGUAGAUAUGCGGAGGAACACCGAUGGCGAAG
rnacentral:rRNA from 1 species